rnacentral:rRNA from 1 species
UACGAAGGGGGGCUAGCGUUGCUCGGAAUUACUGGGCGUAAAGCGCACGUAGGCGGUCUUUUAAGUCGGGGGUGAAAUCCUGGGAGCUCAACUCCAGAACUGCCUUCGAUACUGGAAGACUUGAGUCCGGGAGAGGUGAGUGGAACUGCGAGUGUAGAGGUGAAAUUCGUAAGAUAUUCGCAAGAACACCAGUGGCGAAGGCGGCUCACUGGCCCGGUACUGACGCUGAGGUGCGAAAGCGUGGGGAGCAAACAGG